AUACGGAGGGUGCAAGCGUUAAUCGGUAUUACUGGGCGUAAAGCGUACGUAGGCGGUUUGCUAAGUCAGAUGUGAAAGCCCCGGGCUUAACCUGGGAACUGCAUUUGAUACUGGCAGACUAGAGUAUGAUAGAGGGGGGUAGAAUUCCUGGUGUAGCGGUGAGAUGCGUAGAUAUCAGGAGGAAUACCAGUGGCGAAGGCGGCCCCCUGGAUCAAUACUGACGCUGAGGUACGAAAGCGUGGGGAGCGAACAGGAUUAGAUACCCUAGUAGUCC
rnacentral:rRNA from 1 species